rnacentral:tRNA from 1 species
AGGAGACAUCAGGACUCGAUCCUGAAAUAACGAUAUGCCAAAUCGUAGUUUUACCAGUUAAACUGUGUCCCC